rnacentral:rRNA from 1 species
CAGUAGCCGCGGGAACACGAACCGUGCGAACGUUAUUCGGAAUCACUGGGCUUAAAGCGCGUGUAGGCGGGCCGCCACGUCGGCUGCUGAAAUCCCCCGGCUCAACCGGGGAAGUGGCACCGAUACGAGCGGCCUCGAGGGGGGUAGGGGGCACUGGAACUUCCGGUGGAGCGGUGAAAUGCGUUGAGAUCGGAAGGAACGCCCGUGGCGAAAGCGAGUGCCUGGACCCUUUCUGACGCUGAGACGCGAAAGCCAGGGGAGCGAACGGGAUUAGAUACCCGAGUAGUCCCUGUCUCUUAUA